ACUUGAGAACCCGUCAUUCAGGUAAAAAAGCUUCUUCUUCGCUUGUGAUUAAAGCCUUUUGGUUGUAGUUAUCAUUCCCAUCUGCAAACUAGGGUUUUAAGGACAGAUAGAGCAUUAGAAACAAAGAUGACGAUCAUGUAUGUUGUUUUCCUUCAUAAUUUCUUCAGAAUCUCAAUUCCUCUUGAAAAUCAGCUUAUUGGGAAUAUGACUUUGUGUUUUAUUUAUUUGUUUUCUUUUUUUUAAAGAUUUUAUUGAUAUACCAGAAACUUAUUUUCAUUAUACUUCUUAUCUUGUAGGUUUGGUGCCCUCAGAAAUUUGAUUGUGAAUAAUUGUAAGCGCCUACUUUUAGCUUUGUCUCCGUUACUCUCUGUUCUGUUCUUUUCUUUUCUUUUUUGCCCUUUUUCCCUUUAAUCAACAUGGCUUGUAAGAUAUAUGGGCAUGUAUAAAAUUACCUCUUUAUAUGCAGAAUCUCCUGAAAAUUGGCGUAAACUGUUGCCUGUUAUUAACAAAUGUACUUUAGAUGUAAGAUUGAUGCCUUCAGUGAUAAAUGUGUAAAUAGAUGUGCUCUUUGAUGCAUUUUGUAGCGAAGCAUGCCCUUUUCUGUAGUCAAAAGUUACCUUAUGUAUAUAUACGUUAUGUUUUUUUUUUUGGGUCAAAUGCUGGUGUAUGUUCUUGUGUUUUUCUUUUGCGGGAUAAGUAACUUGGAGCCUGAAUGUUCUUUUUUUUCUAAUUUGUUGAUAAUCAGAUACAUAUGUGCUCGCUGGCGGAGCUGGAUUGUUUGUUGGCCGUUAUAAGGAGGGGUUGUUCUCUUCUCCUCCUUCAGAAGCUGCUUCAUUUUGCAUGUGUUUCACUUCUUCUUUAUUUUUUUUCUUUUGGGUAUCUAAAGCUGCCUGCUGAAGUUUUUGUUUUGUACUUUUUCCAAAACGUCACCUAAGUGUAAAGUUUCCAUUAAGGAAAUUUGUCUCCCGUAUGUUAGUCCAAUGUAGUCCCUAACCAGCUGGUUACUUGCUUUUUUAAUGUUCAACGUUUUAAUUUAGGGGAUUGUUCUAAUCCUUUGAGAUGUUCUGGAGUAUCAAUUUAAUGCAUUUUUUUUAAAACUAUUACUACAGUAUAAGUGUUACAGUUUUCUGAUUUUUCAAGUGUUCUUCUUCUUCUUCUUUUAGGUCGGUUACAGGUUAUGGGCAUUUCUUCCAGGUGGAAAAUUAGGGUAAGUGAAGCUUCUUAUAUGAUUCUCUUAUGCUUGUGGGAUGUUUCUGGGGUGACAUAAUCAUGUGUGAUGUUACUAUUCUCUCUUGCUUCUUUUGAUAAAGGCAGAAGUCUUCUUGACCUCUAUGCAAUUAUCCAUCCCCUGGAACUUUGCCCACAAUUCAGCUCCAAUAUUUUUUUUCAACUGUUCAUGCAUUUCAGUUUGGGCAUACAUUAACAGCACCACCCUAGUGGUGCGUCUUGUGUCCUAAAGCUCAAAGUUUAUCCUUAAAUUUGCCCUUGUUUACUCAACCCUCUUUAUUCAGUAUUCGUAAUAUUGUCUUUCAAUUUCUUAAUCUCUCGCUCCUUCCGAAGCCCUUGGAUGCUUUUGGUCACCUUUACUAGUGAAUGUUCGAUCUCAGUUUACUCUCUUUCUCUCUGAACUCUUUAUUUGCCCCCGGUUUCAUACACCAUUACUUGCACUGCUUGCAGGUGGUGAUCAGGGUAAAGUCGAGCUCCUAUAUGUUUUUCUUAUGCUUGUGAGAUGUUUUUGGGGUGAAAUGAUCACGUUAAUGUAAAUUUUCUUUAUUGCUUCUUUUGUUAAAAAUAAAAUCUAUUUACCUCUGUAGUUUUUGAUCACCGUGGAAACUUUGCCCUCACUUCAGCUCCAGCUUUUUCAACUGUUUAUGCAUUUUUCAGAUAGCGCGUAUGUUAGUAGCACACCCUAAAGCUCAAAAUAUAUCUUUAAAUUAGCUUUUCUUUUACUCCAUCAUUUUGUUUCACUAAUCUUAGUAUAGCCUUUCAAUUUCUUGAUUUCUAUCCUCCCCAAGCUCCAGGAUGCUUUCUUUCACCAUUACUAGUGAAUGUUGGAUCUAACUCACACAGUCUCUCUCUCUUUGAGCCCUCAGUCACAAGUUUCUGUACUCGUGUAAUUAUGUUACAUACGGAUUUAGAUUCGCAUGAUACACAUUUUGUACAUGAUGGGUGCCAGAAGAUCCACACUCAUGCAAGUAGAUAUACAUGCUCAAAAGCAUUUUACUUUCGAGUAACUUUGUUGUAAAAUGGGCACUAACUAAUUUGCCAUUUUUAUUUUUUGUUUCAACAAAUAAUACUCUCUUUCUAAAAGCAGUCCCCCCGUCCUGUCUUGAUUUCUAUGCUGUUGACUCACCUUCCAAUUUUCCAUUUUGGCAUCCAUGUACCUGUGAGAACCACCAUGCCACAAAAUGUAAUGUACUUUAAAGGUAUCUUAUGAUUUGUGGACUAAAAAUGCUCAGAAAAAGAUGGUUUUAAUCUCUUCCAGCUAGGAAUGGGAAUGGUUUAAUAUGGCUGAUUUUUUACAGUUAUUCUUGUUUUUGAACUUACAUUUUGGCUUUUUUUAUGCUGAUUUUUGCUGCUUUUGUAUUGCAGGAAAUGUUUGCAAGAGUAUGAAGAAAGAAUGAAAAAGUAUGACAUGAUUUCAUAAUUUUUAUAUUGAGUUUCUCCCUUGUUAGUCUAUCAACUUUGAUGGCAUUUGUUCCUCCUAUGAUUCUAUUGGUUUAAAUACUCUUUUCUAUGUUAAUAACACUUAUCUUCACAUGACAAUGAGUUACUAAUUGGAUAACUGGAUAUUCAAGUAACUGCUUCUAUGCACUGCUUUAUUGAUUACUUCAUUCGUGGAUUAACAUAGUCCUAAAGUUGGUUUUGGAUUUUCUUCUACAAGAAUGAAUUCUAAUUGGCAUUUGAAAAGGAAAAUAAAGGAAUAUGCUUCAUUUAGAUUAUGAAGAAACCAGGUAUGUAUGCAUAUAUGUAUACCAACAUUAUACUUAGUAUGGCUUACUGGGAUCAUUGCAUUGGACUGGCUUUAAGGAAAUUAGUGGAAGAGAGAGAGAGAGAGGGCCAGUCCGUUGAGUUGCUUUUUGGUUCACUGAGAAUUUGAGUGUUAUACUUUGCCACUCAGCUGCUAACUGCAUUGGGAGCGCCCUUCCCCAUUAAAAUCCUCUUAACUUUGGAAACCUGCUCCUUCAUCUCCUUCCUGAAUCAUUUUUUAAAAGAAAUUUAGUAUUGGUGUUUAGGCGAAAUUGCUCUUUAUGUCAAGGUGCUGUUGCACUGAGUAAAACAAAUCAUAAAAAUGGUAAUUAGAAUGAUGCUUUGCUUUUUCAUGGUUAAAUUUUUCUUUUUCUGUUCCUUUGCUAUUUGUUUCUGUUGUUGAAAUCCAAUAGAUUCAAUAGCAAGCUAAUUCUCCUGCUGCUGCUGGUCCACCUGUGGUGUUGAUCAUGUCUUGGUUAUAAUGCUAUUAUCUUUUUGUUACACCCAACCCCAUCUGCCCUGUAAUCCCACAUCAACUCUCUGGAAACCACUAUGGAGUUUCCAGAAAUGGAAGCUCUACCCUGCACACCACAUUUUAUUGUUUGUGGAGUUGAUUAAUCCUUGAAAACUCCGUUAAACUCUGAAUACUCAAUUCUGCUUCCCGAAUUCAUUAAAACCUGUUAGAGAUGAAAAAAUCAUGGCUUUGUCUUACCUUCCCACUCACCACUACUCCAAAACUAGCAGCAGAAAUCAUAAAAGUGAAAAUGAAAUGAUUCUAUUACUCAACAGAAGAAACCGUUUAGCAAACCAUUCUCCAAAUGGCCCAAAACAAGGAAACCUUAAAAAAUCUAAAGCCAACUCUGUUCCUUAAGUUUUAGCACUAGGGGCCUUUGGUAAUGUACCAUUCAAGUUAGAGAGAAAGCAGUGGUUUUUCAUAGGCAGUGUGCUCUAUUUAGCUGAAGUAAAGUUAGCCCAAAAGUAGUUGACCUUGUUUUGUAAAACUGAAUACCAAUGAUACCAAUCUUGUCUUCUUUGAGUUUUGAUGUAUUUAAUGAUAUUAAUUUUACCCUUUAUGUGUCGUUCGACAGAUUUAGAUGUAGUAGUUCUUUUUCUUUUUCUGGAAAAGUACCGAAGAAUAACAAUUACUGGAACUUAGGUUGGUUUAAUGCGACAGAUAUGCUGCAUCAACAAUGUUAACUGUACUGCUCCCUGCAUUAAGCUGCCAACCAUUUUGGACUAGAUUACUCUACAUAGACAUAUUGUUUAAGAAAUGAGCUUUUUCUAUGUGUUUUCUUUGAAUUAAAAGUCUUUGAUGGCAAAUGGUUCUUCCAGAAUCAUAGUACCAAUGACAACAUCCAUCAAAGGGAAAAUUUGGAGGCCUGGUAAGACUAAUCGCUCUAUCAUUUCCCUAUUAGCAAAAGAGAUGAUGUGGUUGGAAGGCCAUGGGAAUCGUAGUGGGGGAUAUUAGGAUCAAUUAAUUGGAAUUUGGAAUUGUAAAUUAGCAUGUAAACCAAUAAGAUCUGUUGAUUGGCAGAACAUGGAGUUGAUGAUUGUUGCCAAAACUUUUUAGGACAGUAGUAGCUCUUAAUGAUGUACCCCUGAUACUUCCCAAAUGUCAUAUUUACAAAGUUUACGUGACCCUGUCAUCAUACUCUGAACUUAUGCCACUUACUGUUGUGGGUAAAGUAACAUAUACAGUGCAGAUGCCAUGCCAAUUGCUGCAAUUUAGAGCUAUGUUGUGACCAUAUUGAAUGACUUACACUUUGUUGGUUUAGAAAGAAGACUUGAAAAUUUAAAUUGAAGAGAAUUUAAUGAGUGUCUCUUCUUUGUUCAUGAAAAAAUUUUAGAGAAAUGACAAACUUAUUAUCAACUGCUUGUCUUUGAUGUUUCCUUGCUUUUUAAUAUUUUUUGUGUAGUAAUGGGAGAAAAAUGGUCUUUUACAAGAUGUCAUUUAUCAAAUCUCGCCCUCAUUCCUCUACAAAACAAGUGAUCUUUCAUAUUCAUUGCUUAAUCCUCCCCCCCAAAACAACCACCACCACCACCACCAACAAAAAGAGGUCUCUCUCUUUAGAUAACCUAUGCCAGAGUAAUACAAAUAUUAGUUUAUAUUAUUCUUUUCUGAAUUGGGACAAGUUAAAUGUUGUUAUAAGACACUAUUUGUAUGAUCUUGAAGCUUUUGGAAACAUUUCUAUGUUUAUUUUUGUCAAGUAUGGGUGAUUGUUGAAUUUUAUGAAGGUAUUUGACAAACAUUUCCAAGGGAACAUUCUCUGUGUUUCGUGUCUUAUUCUAACUUAAGGUACUUUCUCUGCAGAGAUUGGGAAGCAAUCCUACAGAAUGAACACGAGGAGGAAAGGUUGGCCUUUAGUUUUUUUUUUUUGGUUUUAUUUUAUAUGGCUUUCAUUCUUUACCCUGCUUUGUGUAGCAGAGCUAGAAUAGAAAUAAAUACCGAUAAUGCAUCUUGUUAAAUGGAAUAUUGGAAUUAGUAACACAAUACUGCUUUGAACUAAUGUUUCCAAUGAGCGUCUUUUAGUGGAAUCAUUACAGAUACCAUGUGCAAUUACAAUGACUAUAUAUGUAUUCAAUAUUAAAGCUAGGAGAUUUUUGACUCCCAAGUUUCUGUGUAUUUGUUUUGUAUGCUAGAUUAUUGAACCUUGCAAAUGCUUUUUCUUUGGGUUGUUUAAUGAUAUGAGUUGGAAAAGACUUUUAGGUUGUGGGUUCUAAUAAGAUGAUGAGUAGUAAUUCUAAUUGUUUGACUCCUUAAUAUGCAUCCCAAAGAAUAUGCAGCCGAGUAUUUUCCUGUCAUUGCAAAGUUAGCUGUAUAGAUGGAUAUUUAUAGAAAGCUUACAUCAAAGCAAGAAGUCAUAUCUACUUAAACAAUUGCAGUAAUUCAUGAUACAAAAAUUACAUGCCUGAAUUUUUGUGUCAGGCAAGCGUAUUUGUGGGAGAUUCAAGAUUUGCGGUAAGCUUCUUCAAACAUAAAAGACUUCUUCUUCUUCUAUUUUUUCACCAUAUUCUUAAGAGUAUUAUGAGAUUUAUUUAAUGUGCUAGUACUUCUCAACUAGUUUUGCUGUUUAUAAUCUAACUCAUUGUUUGUGCUUGUUUGUGUUUGAGCUUCAGAGGCCAUAUUUCUACUCUGGAGAAUCAAAAACGCACAAAAUAGGUGUUGAAAUGCUUCGCUGGCCUACUGAUGGGAAUAUUAUUGAGAAGAUGGAUGUUCUUGUAUAUAUGAUGCAAACUGUGAUGGGAAUAUUUUAACCACUGGGCCAAUGGUUUAAUGGCCACCAGGGAGGGGUUUAAACCAGGGAGGCGAAAAAAAUCUAAGGAUUGUGCCAUAGUACUUCCUUGGUCUAGUUGGGUUUGUAUAUCUACUAGUCCCUACCACAACCUCCUUAAGCUCCCCUCCUCCUAGGUUAGGAUAGAGUAGAUUAUACAAAUGUAUCGUUGCUGACCAAAAAAAUGAUGGGAAUAUUUUGAUGUGAUUUGAUUUAGUCUAACAUACUAAAGUAACAAAAAGUUCAAAAACUUGCA
rnacentral:lncRNA from 1 species